AGUAAUUACAAUAAUAUUCGUUUACUACGUUUUUGUAAUGGUAAUUUGGUAAUAACCAGACGAGAGAACGUCAUUUAUUUGUACAUUAGCGUAGGUAUAUACCGGCUAGAUGACGUCUCUGUCGUCCAUGAAUCCCAUAAUAAUACUAUGUAUUAUUCAAUUUGAUUGACACGAGUCACUUCACAUCGCCGCCACGUAGAAUUUAUGCGAAACGACACGCGGCCAUUAAUACGCGUCUGCCAAAUUUCCGUCCGGGCGCCAGCCCCGGAUAAUAAUACCUAUUAUCUAAUAUACAGAGUGAAAACCGUAACUAUAUUUACGGAGAUUUCGAGUGAAUUCGAUUUUAAAACCCCCUCCCCCCCAUAAACAUUGUCCCCCACAGCGUUAUCGUAUCCACGGACGGGAGGCUUUAAGGGGUUUAGUUUCUCCCUGCGUAUAAUUGGUCGCGUUAAAAUAUAGCAAGAAAAAUAUAUACGUAUAAAUUAUUCAGCACUGAAAACGUCUAUUAUUGACUGAUAAAACAGCCUAUAAGCUAACCAUUGCACGUUUGCGCUACAAACUCGACACCUAUUAAGUAUAUACGCAGAAAUACUUUGCGAAAUAACCUCAAACAAAAAUAGGGCAUUACUAUAAUAAUAACAGAUUUGGACGUAAUCCUGGGUAUGACCUAUACGAGUUCAAAUAGCACAUUUUUCAACGCGUAUUCUAAAAGAGAUUGUUAUUUCUCUUUACGAUUAGAAAUUCGAAAAUAAAACGAUUCGACCGAAAAAAAAAACCCCAAAAUCUUCGUAGAUAGACAAUCGAUUAUAUGCGGGUGAAAUACAGUCGCCCUGUACAUAUUAUUAUUAUUAUGUCUGGAACUCUGUACACCGGCGACAGAGUACUGGAGUGCGGAGUUUACGGCAAGUGAUUGAUGUGAAUAAUAUAUGAGAUCAUCAUCCACUUUCGGGUUGUUAAUGUUCGGUAUAGGAUUUUUACUAUUUGGACCGAGUUCAACAUAUUGUCUCGGUCGGGAAACGAGAAGCUUAUUUUUCAUCGCAACCGUCAGUGUGUAUAAUUGCCAGCGGACGGGCAAUUCUAAUUUCGUGGCCG